rnacentral:rRNA from 1 species
GACAGAGGGGGCAAGCGUUGCUCGGAAUUACUGGGCGUAAAGGGCGCGUAGGCGGGAUGGCAAGUCGGUCGUGAAAUCCUUCGGCUCAACCGAAGAACGUCGAUCGAUACUGCUGUUCUUGAGGGUUGCAGAGGAGACUGGAAUUCCCGGUGUAGCGGUGAAAUGUGUAGAGAUCGGGAGGAACACCGGUGGCGAAGGCGGGUCUCUGGGCAAUUCCUGACGCUGAGGAGCGAAAGCGUGGGGAGCGAACAGG